UGCCCAGCAACUCCUAUCCCUACCUCCUCGCGGUACUGGCCGGGGUACGAGCAACCUUAGGGAAGAUCGGGUAACCAACCCCCGGUGGGAACUUUGGUCGUAUGCUGACAGGGAAGG
rnacentral:ribozyme from 1 species